rnacentral:lncRNA from 1 species
AGCAUGGGAAUAUAGUAAACACAUUGCUUCCUUUUUCCGACGGCCAAUAUAAACAUCAGAGUGGGCACAUACACAUCUUGUCUUAUUUAAGAGAGAGGCAAUGCAUGCUCUAAUCACUUUGUAGAAAUAGCCUACAAGCUGAUGUUGUAGCAAUGCCAAUGAAACCGGAUGACAAAUCGAUAUGCUAGGAUUGGGAUACAUUGGGACUCGGUUUCAUACUGAAAGAACGCGAGACACCUCCAGAGAGAGUGGAUGGAUUUCAUGCCGUCGCUCUUACGCCCAGCAGUGGAUCGCUGGAAUGGGCUGGCGGCUAACGGACGGCCCAAUACAUCGGAAGCCAGCGUUUCAGCCUAUGGAGCAGCAGCCCACAAGACAGCUGGGCCAG